CCUACGGGUGGCUGCAGUGGGGAAUAUUGCACAAUGGGGGCAACCCUGAUGCAGCGACGCCGCGUGAGCGAAGAAGUCUUUCGGUAUGUAAAGCUCUAUUAGCAGGGACGAAAAUGACUGUACCUGAGUAAGAAGCACCGGCUAAAUACGUGCCAGCAGCCGCGGCAAUACGUAUGGAGCAAGCGUUAUCCGGCUUUACUGGGUGUAAAGGGAGCGCAGGCGGCCUUGCAAGUCUGCAGUGAAAUACCGGGGCUCAACCCCGGAGCUGCAUUGGAAACUGUGAUGCUGGAGUGUCGGAGAGGCAGGCGGAAUUCCUAGUGUAGCGGUGAAAUGCGUAGAUAUUAGGAGGAACACCAGUGGCGAAGGCGGCCUGCUGGACGAUGACUGACGCUGAGGCUCGAAAGCGUGGGGAGCAAACAGGAUUAGAUACCCGGGUAGUC
rnacentral:rRNA from 1 species